rnacentral:rRNA from 1 species
AUUGAACGCUGGCGGCAGGCCUAACACAUGCAAGUCGAGCGGCUGAAGAGUGCUUGCUCCUUGAUUCAGCGGCGGACGGGUGAGUAAUGCCUAGGAAUCUGCCUGUCAGCGGGGGAUAACGUCCGGAAAUGGGCGCUAAUACCGCAUAAGUCCUGAGGGAGAAAGUGGGGGAUCUUCGGACCUCCCGCCCUCAGAUGAGCCUAGGUCGGAUUAGCUAGUUGGUGGGGUAAAGGCCUACCAAGGCGACGAUCCGUAACUGGUCUGAGAGGAUGAUCAGUCACACUGGAACUGAGACACGGUCCAGACUCCUACGGGAGGCAGCAGUGGGGAAUAUUGGACAAUGGGCGAAAGCCUGAUCCAGCCAUACCGCGUGUGUGAAGAAGGUCUUCGGAUUGUAAAGCACUUUUAGUUGGGAAGAAGGGCAGUAAGUUAAUACCUCGCUGUUUUGACGUUACCAACAGAAUAAGCACCGGCUAACUUCGUG